rnacentral:rRNA from 1 species
AUUGAACGCUGGCGGCAUGCUUUACACAUGCAAGUCGAACGGUAACAGGCCGCAAGGUGCUGACGAGUGGCGAACGGGUGAGUAAUGCAUCGGAACGUGCCCAGUCGUGGGGGAUAACGCAGCGAAAGCUGCGCUAAUACCGCAUACGAUCCCUGGAUGAAAGCGGGGGACCGAAAGGCCUCGCGCGAUUGGAGCGGCCGAUGUCAGAUUAGGUAGUUGGUGGGGUAAAGGCCCACCAAGCCAACGAUCUGUAGUUGGUCUGAGAGGACGACCAGCCACACUGGGACUGAGACACGGCCCAGACUCCUACGGGAGGCAGCAGGGGGGAAUUUUGGACAAUGGGCGCAAGCCUGAUCCAGCAAUGCCGCGUGCAGGAAGAAGGCCUUCGGGUUGUAAACUGCUUUUGUACGGAACGAAACGGUCCGGGCUAAUACCCUGGGCUAAUGACGGUACCGUAAGAAUAAGCACCGGCUAACUACGUGCCAGCAGCCGCCGUAACAC